rnacentral:rRNA from 1 species
GUAGGGGGCAAGCGUUGUCCGGAUUUAUUGGGCGUAAAGAGCGUGUAGGCGGCUUGGUAGGUCCGCUGUGAAAACUCGAGGCUCAACCUCGAGAUGUCGGCGGAAACCACUUGGCUAGAGUCCGGAAGAGGAGAGUGGAAUUCCCGGUGUAGCGGUGAAAUGCGCAGAUAUCGGGAAGAACACCUAUGGCGAAGGCAGCUCUCUGGGACGGUACUGACGCUGAGACGCGAAAGCGUGGGGAGCGAACAGGAUUAGAUACCCUGGUAGUCCACGCCGUAAACGAUGGGUGCUAGGUGUGGGCGGUGUCGACUCCGUCCGUGCCGAAGCUAACGCAUUAAGCACCCCGCCUGGGGAGUACGGCCGCAAGG